AAUACGAAGCUAUUCGAGACCUUAAGCCACUGAACAGGACGCUAAUUCUCAAAACGACCGGUCGGGUCGUUAUAUUUGAUCAGCUCUGGGAGGAUAGGUGGUGGUGUUAUAAUUAGAAAUCAUUUGGGAGAAUUUAUUCAGUCAAUUGCAUCCCCAUUGGGUGAGGGUACCAUCAAUUUGGCAAAAACGAAAGCCGCUUCUAUAUCCAGUGGUGCAUUGCUAAUGGGUACAAUAGAGUACAUCUACAGGCAGAUUCUGAGCUAUUGAUCAAACUGGUUGACAAGCAAUAAUGAUCCCCCUUGGAUCAUCAAGAUGAAUUUGCAGAAGCUGAGAGCACUUUGUCUUCAGUGUGAGAAGAUCACAUACUCUCAUGUGUACAGAGAGGCCAAUUCCCCUGCUGAUUUAAUAUCUAAACUCAGUUAUGAUCUCAUUGCACUAACACACUUCCCCAACACUUUUAAUCUACCUCCUCAUAUAAGGGGGCCAAAUCCAGAAAGAUAUUUUGGACACCCAAGCUUUCAGAUACAGAAAGACUCAAAGAAUCAUUACACCACCACAAUUGGCUUCCACCACUUCUCAUGGUUAUGGUUGAUACAAAUAAAUUGAGGGGAGAAUACAAAUUUGUCCAAUUAUACAUCAUGAAAUAUCAUCACAGCAGCAUGAGUAGGAACUGUGGUUCAGAUGCUAACACCACCAUAAGAGCAGUUUAAAUGCAACAACAGUAUGGUUUUUACUAACCUGUUUGUUCUUAUGUGCACCACAUUGGACACACUCAUAACAUUGAUAGACCUCCAAGGUGUUGUAUUAGCACCUUGGGUGCUCAGUCUGUUGGAGGUCUUUUAAUACUAUAAAGAGUGGUGUUCUCUGCAGCUAACCUUCAAUGCAGGCAACUAAAUAUACCAUACCCACAAUCACCAGCACAACACCUUAAUACCAUUACACCCUCAGCAACCCUUUACAACAACCUUACUCCACUUCAACACUACUACAAAUACAUUAAGAUCUAUCCUUACACUCCGGAGACUUAAUCAAUUUCCCUAGCCAACAACUCACAUCUCACACCAACUCUCAGAAUCCACAAGAACCUGGGAGUAGAGUUGCAUACCCACAAUCCAAGGACAGAGGACAUAAAGAUACACAUCUUUAACUCUUUUUUCCUUUUUGCGGGUAAUUGUUCUUGUGGCAUGCUUAACUAUUUGAUUUACUUUCAGUGUGUGGUAUCAGCAAUCCCAAUGCUCAUCCUGCUGAGAGUCUACCAAAGGUCACAAGCAUGUCAGAAUUUGGCUAACUGCUUAAAUGCAAAGGAGGAAAACACAAUGUUGCAGAUCAUAGUUUGUAGAAAUAAAUAUUUGGGAGCAGAACACCUUAUCUUUCUUUUCUGGGAGAUGGAUAAAAGGGAACACUUUCUUCUAACUUGUUUGUUAAAUUUUGAAAGUACAAAAAGUAGGCCUAGAUCAUUGGUGAAUCCUCAAUGUGUGGUAUUAGCACUUCAAGUGCUCAGUCUGUUGAAAAUUCAUCAAUCAUCCUGGGAAUGCCAACUUCAUCAUGCCAUAUUGGAUCACAUAAGACAUCCAGACAUGCAUGUCAUGUCUGGGGGCUCAAAGCUAGUUGCCCAAUAUGGUGCAACAACAAGCAGGUUCCAAGCAAUCACAUACAGUGACUACUGCCAACUGAGCAACCAACUAGACACAACUAGGGGAACAAACCUAGCUGCCCUAGUUUUCUCUACAGGUAAUCACCAUAUAUAGUUUAUGGAACCAUAUAGCUCACACACAUGUGCCCAAACAAUGAAUAACCUGGACAAAUUUUGGGGCUCAGGCCUAAAUGUUCAGUUUGACAAGUUUAAUAUCACCCUCCAGGUGCAGAGAUAUACACACAUACAAGCACAAAUGUUUGAUAUGGAGUGCAGAACCAACUUCCAGAUGCCAUCAGCUCAACUUGAUUCACCUCUUCUGUCCUGGAUGAAGACAACAAUCAUUCACCAUCCAGUGCAAAAUACAUUAAUGCAUUGGUCACACACAGGAAAUACCUCAUGCCCAAGUUCUUCUAUUAGCUCCAACAAAUAGAGGUAGCAUGUUACUUCAACACCAUACCUCCUUUUGUUAGCUAUCUUCGACUUGGUCAGUGUAUAGCUAUGUUGAAGACAGUCCUUUUCAUAGGAUGGAUGUACCUACCUGUUAGUUUUUGGAAGGUCUCCCUCCAACUCUUUUGCAUAGUUGACAUAGGUUUAUAUUGUAUAGUUGACCUAGGAUAACUUCACAUUGUCUUUUGUCAUCCAAAUGUCUAUCAAAUAUGGAUAGAUAACUGGAAAUUCACUAUAGGUCUAACUUCACAUAAGCUUUUGGAUCCUCUUGAUUGUUUUGUUUAGAUAAUCAAGUGGUAUUCCACCAUAGGUUUGAGGUUAGGUUCAUGCCCCCCUCCUUUGAAUUUGCUUCAUUUGUAUAUACAAAAACCCUAGGCACAAUGCCUAGUGGGUUCUACUAAAAUAAAUAUAUGCUAUAUUACAUAUUAGGGAACUUCAAAUACGAGUCUUCAAUUUUCAAUUAUCUAUCUUAAUUUUUCGAUUUUAAAAUACAAACUUAUGGGCUUUAAUUAUCAAUCUCCAUUCAUUAAUUUUCAAUUAUCAAAUUUCAAUCGAUAAUUUCAAUUUUCAAUCGUCAAUAAUCAAUUAUCAUUUUCAAUCUCUCGUGGACUUUAAUUUUUCGUGGACUUCAAUUGUGGAUUUAUUUUAUGCACCGUGGACUUCAAUUGUGGAUUUACUUUAUGCAUUGUGGACUUCAAUUGUGAAUUUACUUUAUGCAUUGUGGAAUUCAAUUGUGAAUUUAUGUUUUGCACCGUGGACUUUAAUUGUGGAUUUACUUUAUGUAUUGUAGACUUUAUUUGUGGAUUUACUUUUAUGCACAGUAGACUUCAAUUGUGUUUUGUUUUUUCUCACCUUAUUUACUUCCUUCAUUGUGGACUUCCUUUCACCUUGUACAUAACAUAUAUGGUGUAUGUAAUUUUGUGAAUGUGGAUUUAAUAUCAACUUCCUCCAUUCCAUCAUAUUUAUAUAUUCAAAGUCGCUAAUGAAUUUUCUAGUAUAUUUUGUUUCAUAAGAUGACAGGAUCAGAAGUUCGCACCACACAUCAAAUCGUGGAUCAUAUCUAAGCAAUGAACUGGGAAAAUUGUCGAAGGUGGAGUUAAGCUCAUCAUCAAGAGGUCAAAGAUCUACUCCCAAAUUAUAUUUUGCAAAAUCGUGGUUAUAUAGAUUCAGGCAUUUUCGGGCACGGUGAUCGUUGAUUGUGGAGUCCGAUCAUUUGGAGAUCAUCGAGAUGGUGAGGAUACGUACUACCGGUCAGGAUGGACAGCCACCAGUACCACCAACUAGGGACACAAGAGGUCGAUGUUGCGAUAGGGGCCGCGGUAGAGGCAUGGGUGCAGCUCGUACAGCAGCUAGAGCGGCACAUGCAGAUCCACCAGUUGAUCUAGCUCAGGAGCAGGCGGUUUCUGUUCCGGCUGCGGCAGCCACUUCUCAGGUCGGGGGAGGUACUCAGACUCCCAUCGCCCGUAUACCAGAACCGGUGAUGUAGAAACUCCAGACAUCGGGGGUACCACUAGCCCAGCCGCUCAUGCCUAGGCAGGUCCUGUUAUGAUUGAUAAUGAGCAGAGGAGACUAGAGAGAUUUGGGAGACUCCAGCUUCCAUCAUUCAGUGGGGCUGAGUCUGAGGAUGCC